rnacentral:lncRNA from 1 species
GUUCCCCGCGUCGUCAACACGGCAUCCCUGCAGACUUACUGUAUUACUUAGUAAUCAAUUUCAAAGCCCAACCCAGCGUUGGCAAACGCUAGCUUAAGCGAGAAAACGCCUGUAGUAGUCUCUUCUUCUUGCCUGCCAAACCACCUCGUCUUACGUCACUCAGCUUACGUCACUCAAGUAUAUGAAAUAAACGAGAGAAAACCAACUUCGAUUUUCCCUGCCCCGUUGAGCCCUCACAAGUUUGUGUUACGUAGCAAGCAUGUCACAGAGAAACGAAGGCCGCGUCUCGACCGUGCAUUCGGUGCUCAGAAG